rnacentral:lncRNA from 1 species
CAAAGUAGGCACUCUGCCUCGUGUGCUGGGAAGAGUGAGUUCUCAAAAGCUCUAUCCAAAGUGGGCACCUGUCUGCAGUUUUAAUGGGAAGGAAGUAGUAUGGAAAUUGGAUGCACCCAUGAAGAGCACCUGUACUGAGCCCCUGAGCAGGAGACCUGGCAGGGAUGAGGGGCUGCUGUCUUCCCAGAGAAAAGACUCCAGGACCUUGAUGUGGAAGGCAGCCUGUUCUGGGGAAAAAAACAACCAUCUCAAAUAGCACUUGGGCAGUCAUGCCUUGGUAAGAGUCA